AGUGAACGCUGGCGGUAGGCCUAACACAUGCAAGUCGAACGGCAGCACAGUAAGAGCUUGCUCUUACGGGUGGCGAGUGGCGGACGGGUGAGGAAUACAUCGGAAUCUACUUUUUCGUGGGGGAUAACGUAGGGAAACUUACGCUAAUACCGCAUACGACCUACGGGUGAAAGCUGGGGAUCUUCGGACCUUGCGCGAUUGAAUGAGCCGAUGUCGGAUUAGCUAGUUGGCGGGGUAAAGGCCCACCAAGGCGACGAUCCGUAGCUGGUCUGAGAGGAUGAUCAGCCACACUGGAACUGAGACACGGUCCAGACUCCUACGGGAGGCAGCAGUGGGGAAUAGGACAAUGGGCGCAAGCCUGAUCCAGCCAUACCGCGUGGGUGAAGAAGGCCUUCGGGUUGUAAAGCCCUUUUGUUGGGAAAGAAAAGCAGCAGGUUAAUACCCCGCUGUUCUGACGGUACCCAAAGAAUAAGCACCGGCUAACUUCGUG
rnacentral:rRNA from 1 species